rnacentral:rRNA from 1 species
UACGUAGGGUGCAAGCGUUGUCCGGAAUUAUUGGGCGUAAGGAGCGUGUAGGCGGCUCGAUAAGUCUGCUGUGAAAGUCCAGGGCUCAACCCUGGAAGGCCGGUGGAAACUGUCGGGCUAGAGUCCGGAAGAGGCGAGUGGAAUUCCCAGUGUAGCGGUGAAAUGCGUAGAUAUUGGGAGGAACACCAGUGGCGAAGGCGGCUCACUGGACUGGUACUGACGCUGAGGCGCGAAAGCGUGGGGAGCAAACAGG